rnacentral:lncRNA from 1 species
GGAUACAAAGUGCGGAAGAUAAGUUGGUGACCAUAACCUGGAAUUUCUCUGUCAGCGCUUCACAGAGCUAAUAGAUUUUAACAUAGCUCCCAUCUCAGGCUAAAAAAAUUAAAAUGUAAUAACAAAAACACCGCAAGGAAGUGCAGUGGGCUGUAUAGAAUCUGCCUGGCAAGGCUGCCUGACACACGCAGGACUUGCUUGGAGAUCUCCCUGCGGUUCAGCCCCUGGCGCCAUCAGUUGGGCUUGAAAUCAAAAGCAGUGGAAGGAGGUAAUUAAAAGUGACUCUACACCGCUCUCCUGGCAAAAGAAGAGUCCACUGCAGCCACUGGAGGAGGGUGGGAAAGGAUUCAGGGGUAUGUAAGAGAAGGCAUGCGUCUCUCCAGCCUUAGUGAUUUCCAUUAUGGAAAAGCAGCACUUUCCAGCUUUUAACCUUUACGCCUCUGAAGUCAAACAUCAACUUUUUGUUUUAAUUUCAGCACGUAAAAUACAAACUCCGUUUUGGCUAAUGUCAACAGCAUGCUCUCCCUAAGCUACAAGUAAGGUGCGGAGCUGGAAAAGCCCUACAAGGCAAAAAGCUGAAAAGCAGAAUGAUAGAGAAGCAGCGAUUGCCACCAGCGCUUCCACUGGCUGGCUGGCCCGGUGAUUUUCAAGACUAUGGGACUCAGGGUGAAGGGGAAGGCCACGAGGUUCAAACCAUGCUGCUGGCUGCAGGAACAUCCAUUAAAAGAAAUUAAGAGCAAAGUCAGACCCCAGAAGGAGCAGAAGACGCUGUGUUCCAACUCUAACCAGCUGAAGGAAAGUUUAUAUAAAAACAAUCCCUUGGUCAGUGAGUCAUAAGGAAAGAAUUCUUAAGCUUUCUUCAGGGAAACCCCAGUAAAUAACAUGUCUAAAAACACAUGAAGAUGGUGUUGUCUGUUCCCUUACGAUACUUGGUCCACAUGAUAAAACCUUUGGCAGCAAAACAACCUACCGAGCAGAGUUCUCUUUGGGAAACCCAAAAACCAGUAAGAACUGCUGAGGCUCCUUGCAAAGUCUGUCUCAUAUUCUAGCUCUGGUGUGGGUUGUCUAAUGCAAACUGGGAAGAAACACGAAAAGAAUGCUUUUCCUUACAGCUUUGGAGAGUGCUUCUCCGUCGAUUGCAUGCAGUUGUACUCUCAAGAUACAUAAAUGCCUGGAUUUCAGUACAUUCUGCAUCUUUUAUAAGUAAGUGCUUUGGACUGAAAUAUCUUGCUGUACUACGCCCAAAGAAACUGAAUGAAAAGCUCUCUGCAUGCACAGCCUGUCUGGAAUAUGUUAUCAGACACGCAGCGGGCUUUGCAAGAAAUAGUACUCUAGCAAAAGAAAGGCUGGAUGGCUGGAUUUCACUUCCAACGUACAACUUCUUUGGCUAUGAGCAUUUUUUCAUCUUUUUUUUUUUUUUUAACUAUCACAACAUUUUGGAAACGUGUUUUUAAGCAUAUCUUCCUGCAAAGAGAUUUUAAAGUAACUUAACGUAGGUUCAGAAAAAUGAGAUUGCAGUGGUUUCCAAACAAAUGAUCAGAGCUGAACGCUGUGCCGCCUGAGUUUGGACUGACUAAAAACUACUGUUGGAGAUUCCAGGUAGGAAUAUUAACUAAAGCACAUAUAUUCUGUGUCAAGCAGAGCUCACACUCGGUAGCAAAGCUUCUUAAUUGCUGCAGGUGCCCAGGACAGACUCGUUUUACCUCUCCCUUUAAUGACUUUUUAGCUUAUUGAGUGUGAAUGCGGACAUUUUGGUUUGCACUGGAAGCUUCCCCUGCCCAACGUAAAAUUCCUUUAUGGAUUUUAUUUCAGGUUAUGCUGCUCCCAUAUUUCCAGCUGCUAGAGAUCCAUAGCAGACUCCAGAAGUUUUCCAGGAUAUAGCCAGAAACUUGUCAAGAAAAAAAAAAGGAAGGUUGGAAGCAUUACAGGGUAAUUCCCAAGGGGCUGUGGAGUUACCAUAGUAAAGGAGUGUUUUUACCAAAAUGCACAGAAACAAAAGAGGUAGCUUCACUGAUAUUUGAAUUGUAAUUUUCCAUGUCAGCAGGGGGUUGAGCUUGGAACCAAUAGGGCAUUUGUGACCACCUUUCAGGUAUCUGUGACUAACAGUGAACUCUGGGAGACAGCUUAAUGCUCUUCUGCAUGAAGAAAUAUAUGAUGAAAUAUAUUUUUAAGAGCUGUGAAGGAUCAGCCUAAGGGCUAUCAGUACUGACAAAGCACAAGCUUUGCACAGAGAAAAUGCAGACGCAAGAUAAAAGGAACUCUUGAAAAUAGGAGCAUCUUUUAGUCCCAAUAAACCAUUCCAUCAUCCAAAUGGGAAGAUUCAGCCAGAAAGAACACAGGUGGAAAGGUCUUUUUCUCAAAACUCACAGAAGUGGGAUAGGUGACACUGAGAAGUGCUGUAUCCUUUCAUCUCGCACGGAGCAGCAACGCUCCCAAGCCUUACCAGAGAAAAGAUGUGUAUUUUAGUGCUCCAUCAUAAAUCUGAAUCCUGUUGCUUUACUGUCAUGCUGCUGGUAGACAAUUAACCGGGAACCUUAACAAUUACCUGGCACACGGGUAUCAACAGCCAAGAGAUCCAGACAUGGAAGGAAUAAUCACAGAUUAUUGUAGACACAGAUGCCUAGAAUUACAUGCAGUUCCCCAGUGGGGUAUCAUCCAAAAAGAUCUGAAUUGCGACAGGAAAAUGCUGGUAGUUGUAUACGUAAAGCAAAUACAUUCAGAAUAUCUGAGCAAACACACCAAACUUCUCAGGAUGCACAGACACACACACCUCAUCUCAGGUAAAAUUGCCCCACAGUUUUUCUUUCUGCCCUUCAUCAGACCAGCAAAAGGAUGAAGAGCCUGGUACACGUCUAGGUUGGUUAAUAACUAUUACUGACUUUAAACACUUCAACAAGUGACCUAAGAAAACCACUUGAGCAAAUUUUCAGUCUUACUUUAAGCUGAGAUGCUUCUGGUUCUCCAGCUACGGGGACACUCAAAUGAACAGAGAUCAAAUUAGGAUUAAUCCAUCAUCAUUGAUUCUUAAAUUCAUCACUGUAUACACAAAUGAUGUAGGAGUGAGGUAUUUUUAAAGAGCAAAAACGAAGAUGUCUUGCCAAACCUGCUCCAAACACCAGAAAUACUGCCUUCUCAGGCUUGAAGAGACAAGUCCUGUAGAAAGAAAUUAUGCUGCUUCUUUACAGAAUUCAUUAGUAAUACAAUAAUCCUAAAUCCUAAAGACCAGUGACAAACAGGUAGUUUGCUCUGAGACUAUCAAUCUGCACAGACCUCAAUGGCUAGUGACAAACCUCUGACCCAAUAUGCAGACAGGACAGCGUUCAGUAAUUAUCCACUGAUUCCCUCAUGUCAUCCUUUGGCCAUAAGCGUUACGAGCCAGGAACCACGUUUUAUUUUACGUUUGUAAAAUGGGAUCUGGGUCCACAACUGCAGCUUCUAGACAAAUAGUAUCUAUUCACAAUAUUAACAACAGCUGCUGGAGAGGCAUCAUGCUGUGACUUACAAAAGAAACUGUACAAAUAAGAUGGAGCUAAAUAAGAGAAAUGCAACAUGGGGCAGAAAUCACAGCCCCAGUUGGACGAUGCCAGGACUGGUUCUAGGAAAGGAGCAUUUUAGCAGAACGCUCACCAGACUGCAGUAAGCAGGGAAAAAACAACGGUCCACUAAAAACUUACAGAACGAAGCAGAACGCAUUCAGUCACAGCAGAUGAAAUGCUAACCCUCCAGACAUCGAUGGGAGUUUUACAAUUGACUUCAUCAUGCCCAGUAUUUCACCCAUGUUCCAGUCUUUUUGCCACCGAUGCUGGUUGCAGUUUAAUUGUUUCUGAGCAUAUGCAUCCACUCAUUGGUUUAAGAGGUAUAUUCUGCACAGCAGUAUAUAGCAGAGACCACAGAGAAGAAGAGUUAUGUUUUCAAACUCUUGAAGAUGACAAGCAUCCUAAAGCAAGGACCAUGAUUUCCACCAUACCAAGGGCAACACACUGCUGAGGACUGCACACAGUGCUGCAUUUUGCUCUUGGUUAGACUCCUAAGUUUUAACAUUGAAAUCAGCAGCGAGCCCUGAAUUGGAAGCCAUUGAUCUAGAAGAAAAGAAACCCAACAGAUAAAGGUAAGCAUUUUAUUCUGCAUAGGACACUGGUUACUUACGUAUGUACAGGGUCACGCAUUGACUCAUGUACAAAUCCACCAACUCUGGCUCACAAAUAAUUCGCUUCAAGAAGAUAACACAGCUAUAGACACCCAUGCAUUCGAGGUUGCUUGCUGGUGUCCUUGUUCAUAGGGUCAGAUCAUUCCCUGUAUUGAAGCCCUCAGCUGAGGAACAGCAAGUACAGAGCCCUUACUCACUGAACAGCUCAAGAGAAUACUGUGCAACAAAUAAAUAUGACUGAAAAGUUUCAUUUUCUGCUAAUGAAAAGGCCCAACACAGCCCAACACCUUGUGUAACAGCUGAUGGGAACUUUAUGUCUACAUACCACAGAGCUUAUAUCCAGCCAGAUCAUUUCACACACAUCAUUUGAACUCAGUGAAAUAUUCAGUGAUGCCUCAUUCUCUCUUUGAAUUACAAAUACUUUGAUUAGGAGAUGUUAGGUUUAAAAAAAAUGAGAGAGAAGGUAAAGGUGAACCAAGUGAGAUCAUUUGUUCCUCCACUUUGGGACCAGGAACAACAGUAAGCAAGGCACCAAAGUGGAAGAGAGCCACAAAUCAAACACCACAAGUGUCCACAGCCAGCUUUUCCUAGGGACAAAACUCAGUUCUCCAGAAGCAGCACAGUUGGAAUAGCAAAUGUCCUACUAAUCCAUCAAACAGGGAAGGACGGACAACGCACUGGUCAUUGAAGGGCCACAAUGGAAGUGGGACACGGGUGAUGCAGGAGGAGUGACCACAGAACAGGAACAAAUGACAUCAUGAGUGCUAUGAUGAAAGAAUGAAGUUUCAGAACAGGGAAUUUCACACACAAAGCAUCAUGUGAAAUCGACUCCAUGCGGACAGUAAUUAUAACCCUACCUCCAUCAAAAGAAAGAUAGCAUAGGCUAAACAAAUCCAGGAUGAAACUAUACAUCAGAAUAGACAUUGCAUAUCUUUGCUUUUGUCCAAAACGGAACGAGAGAAAACAGCAUUCCGUUUCUCUUGAUCGUCUUGUUUUCUCUUACAAAUGAGAGAAAAAAAAAGGAUCUGGCUGCUUACCAGCUGCCCUCCACCCUCCUGUCCAAUGACUACAUUUCCUGUUACACUGUAAAUGCUAUGGAAGUGAGUUCGGUGACAUUUUUGGCAGAAAAAACUCACAUUUUUAUUUAGAUCCAAUGACUUUUUUUUUUUUUUUUACAAACCGCUACUCAGGAAUAGCUUUUUGUGCAGGAACUGACUUGGAGACCGACAAAAAAAUUGUCCCAGUCUUGUGAUAUCUGAGCGCAUUUCCCUUUCUGUUCAGCUCUGCACAUGGGUGGUGCUGCACUAAAGGGGUACGGAGGCAACGUGACCUUCCAGCUAUGGCUGUCCUCAGACCUGGUGGCACAGACACCCAGCCUGGAGUCUCGAGGAUCCCUGUAGGUCUGAGUGGGACAGCACAGCACAGAAGCACCCUCCUCUGCCAGCCAACUCCUAGCACUCAUUGACCAGUUCUAGGAAAGGAUCUGCAGGAGUUGGCUUUCUCUACUGCAGAUCUCACUCUCUUUUCAACAGGAAUACAUGUCCAGAACACGGCCGACACUCAUGCUCCAUCAUCUGAAACAUCACAGCCAGAAAGUUUUCACUUUUCUGUACAACUCCAGUAAAAUCCUUUGUUAGAGUGGAAGUGGUGCAAAAAUGAGCUGCACCAUAAAAAAUGAAGAAUUUCAAGCCUUUUCAAUGUGCAGAUGCUUUGUGCAAAGCAAUGAGCCCACCACGGAGACACUGCAAAAAUAAUAAUAAUAAUAAUAAAAACUGCUCAUUUCUAAAUUUCCUGCAGCUUGCUUAAUGUCAGCAGGUUCAUUUAAUAGCAGAAAUGUAAUAAAACUGUGACAGCUAUGGAACGGCUGACCCCUGACACAGGCAGUUACCAGUUUGCUGGGACUGGUUUUGAAAUCCUUCAGUUAGCAAGGCUGACUUUUGUUACAGCCAGUGCCACUGAUGCAAUGCACUGGAUCUCUUUUCUCCCUUGUACGUUCUUAACUCUCUUGUGCCAACAAUUAUUUUACUCCUAGAGAAUAUAAAAGAGGGCUGCUGUGUGUUUCAGGGAACAGGAGUGCCUCUAGGUUUGGUUUGAAGUAGUAAAUAUUUAGAAGGAUGAAUUUUAUGGAAGCGUGUUUUUGCAUUCAUGGAAGCGUAAGGCAGCACGGAAGGCACUGACAAACAGCCAUUUCCUUUCCUCCCUCUGCUUUGGACUGCUGUUGACCCAGCGGGUGCGCGCAUGCACGCGCUCUUGCUCUGCUCCAUUACGCUGUCACUGCAUUGCAAAACUCAAUUCAUCUGUUUGAAGCAAUGACUGAAGCACCGUCUAUAAAAUGAUGGCAUUUUUCCCACUUUAAAAAAUAUUAUAACACUCCUUCAUUUGAAAGUUAUUUUUAAACCUCCUUGGCCUGGAGCCAAUUUUAGUCAUAACUGAAGCGGAUUCUUCUUUUCCUAGAAUUCAGUGCCUUCCUUUCCUAGAAUAUCGUUUUCUGGGUGCUGGAUUUUUUUGUUUUUUUUUUAAGUUAAGAAGGAAAAACAAAACGGAAAAUGCACAGUUUUCAUUUCCAUCUACGCUGCUUUCCCUGUGACACAUCAGCACAAGCUGCUGUUCAGCUUACUGCUACACAACAAACACAAGCGAGUCUUUACUUUGUUUAGCUCAGGACCUCAACGCGAACACCACCCUCAGCAGUCUCGGAGCAGAAGCACUGACUCACAGUUUGAGCCUGGCUGGGAACGUCACCAUGGCCUGAGUCAGAGCGUGACAAUCAGGUAAGUGCAGACACUUCAGAAACACAGCUGGAUUUGGUAGAGAAAGCAUCGUAGCCCUGUGCAAAGGUGCACAUGGCUUCUGGCAUAGUAUCUGCAUAGAAAUGUCAAUAGCCAAGUGUGAAAUAGAUGAACUGAGAGAGCUGUUGUCAUACACCUAGGUAGGAUGAGUACCCUGACUUCAUUCACUCUGAGUUCCCACUUUCCAGGGCUGUCUCAAGAGGGAGUAGGACAUCUGGUCUUCUUAAUGAAGUAGCUGAUCUGGAAUCCGAGUUCAGUAAAACUACUCCCACCCCUUCCCCCCUCCCCCUCCCAAAAAAGAGACUCGAAACUAAGCAAUUAAUAUGUCACCAAGAAGUAUUUUAAGCAAUAACAUGCAAACUGACCUGGCAGCGAGAUUAUUUUCCUUUUCUUUUCAAAGGAAAUUCUGUUUUUCUCAGGAGAAAAUUCAAACUGAAUUAUACUAAGUGACUUUGUGUUAGGUGAAUGCUCGUAUGCUCAGUGUUAUCCACACUGAGACAAUCCCACUAACCGAGAUGCAAAUACAUGCUUUAGACUUGUCUGUUCUACAUGCUUUGUAAAGGGUAUCACAAGCACGGCAAUGCAAAAUAAUUAGAAAAGCCGUGCCCACAAAAAGCAGUUUAAUCAGAUUUCUGAUUUUCCUUGGUUGAAUUUUCUCAAGACUGACCUCAGUUUUAAAGCGUUUGAUCAUUCAAAUUAAGCAGAAGUGUUUGGCUAAUUCAGGGUUCAAGGCUGAUAAAAAGGUGAGCUCUUUAAUAUAAAGACAGCCUUUGGGGGGCUUUGGGGGUUUUUUGUGUGUAUGUUUUAUUUUUGCUAGUUUGGCCUAUGGGGUUUGGGAUGAGAAUUUCAGUAGGACACAGCAUCUAGUUAACCUUCUAACCUAACAACGUAGGUAUGCACAUAAUGAAAACUGCCUACAAGAGAAUGUUGUAGGCUUUGCUGCUGCUGUUAUUUUCAAACAGCAGGCUCUGGAGGGCCGGUGUUUUUUGCUUUUGUUUUUAAACGAGGGUGAUGAAAAUGCACAGGGGAGGAAGCAAAUUCACAGAGAUGGAUUAAGACACUGACUCAGUGUCUUCAGCAUCUGGACUGAAGCUACAAGCAGCUUCCCAGCACUCUGUGCAGCUUGGCACAACGCUCUACUCGUCCUGCCUCUGCGCAGGACUGCAGAGCAGAGUUCAGUUUUAACUUUAGGAAGACGUGGCUUGCCAACAUGUGCUUGCUGAAUGAGGUAGGUCUCCAUUACCUCAUUCCAAACGACCCUUUUUACAGAUCUUAUCCAACAAAGCGUUUGAAGAUGUAUUUAUUUUUAACCAUGUGAGAAAUCUCACUUACAGUAAUGAUUGUGCAACAAUAAAACGUAAAAAUAAAAAUGAUUGGUAGUCCACUGAUGACCAUAAACCCUCUUCUUUUCCCUCCCCCCUGCUUUUUCUUAGGACCUCAUUACUCCAAUGUUUAUUAUUACUUUGCAAAUUUAAGAGGCAAAGCUAAGGGCAGUACCCAUUCAGGUUGUGCGGGUGGUUAUGGAAUCACAGAAUGGCUUGGGCUGGAAGGGACCUUUAAGAUCAUCUAGUUCCAGCCCCCAGAGCAUGAGCAACUUAUGUGAAAGAAGGGAGGGGACACAGAUGAGGAUACAAUGAUCCUCACAAGGAUCUGGGUUCCGAGAGAAAGAUGAGGAUGGCUGUCAUGGAGAUUUGUUUUGGAAUUACCUUCUGGCUGACAUCCCAUGGCCAGAGGGGGAAUAUCUGUGAACGUACAGCAAAAAUCACCCAUUGCUCACAGCAGAAGGAGAGCUAACAGAUCCAACAAGCCUCAAAUCUCACAGGUUUCUCCUAUACCUGCUUCAACCUAUCCUAUCUUUUGCUAGCAGUAUAACUCCACAUCAGACACUACUACUGGUCCUCCCUCCCUGGAGGUGCCCCAUAGCUCAGGUCACUGGAGAACAGCGCUUGUCCACAUGCAUCCCGACCCCUGUUUCUGACAGCCCCAAGAGAUCUCUGGUGCCCCAUCUCACUUGACAGAGCAUCUACAGUCUAACUCCUCUCAUCAGGAGAUCAGCUCAGUAUCCAGCAUAGCAGCAAAGCCUUAAGUCAGCAUAUCGUAAAGCAACAUUAUAAACAUUACCUUGAUAUUUCAGUGUACACAGUUAACAUUUACAUUUCACACCACCUCCUGCAUAAAGUCCCUCUCUCUAUGCCAUCAAUUCUUAACCCUUCACCACCCGACAGGCAAGCCAAUAAAACACAACAUUUUUGGUGCUUCUCAGCCCAGUUACUAUGGAGACAGCAGCAGACAAAACAGCGAUAAAAAUAUCAAAAUCAAAAGCAGACAAAUUCCCAGAUCUUCAGACCAUUUUAAAUGCACCUGGGUCUUUCCCAAAUAGCCCAGAAAUGCCAGAAGCUCACGGUGAGAUGCUACAAGCAAUAUUUCAGGGGAUAGUUUCAACAUUUGCUAGGAAGCAUCCUUUGAUGCUCCAGAUACAUCCUCCUAAGGGUUAAUAUGUCAAAACAGGAAAGAAAAAAAUGCAAAAGCCGUGUAAAUUCUUUCUGUAGCAUGACAAACUCCCUUUGCAUCAUGUUCCAAAGUGUGAGAUGUGAAAUUUCCAUUCUUAAGCUCAGUAAAAAUGGCAGGAAAAGUACAAACCCUGGGAACGACUUGAUUAUUAGUUUAUCAGAUCAACAUCAGCAAAACUAUCUUUUUAUGUGCUGCUCAGUUUCAGAAAACCUACCAUGCAUAUUUCAGUUCUCUCUCUCCACACCCCACACCCUUCUGCUGCUGUCCAGCUGGAACGCAUCAAGGGUCUAGAAGCCAAGUCAAAUGUUGACCCCACCCUCCUCCAUCCAUUUUAAGGCACCUUCAAAGCCACUACACUGAUCUAGUUCAGCUUAGCCAACAACGCCAGCAAAUCUGUUAUUUAAGACUUUAGUGCCGGGUUUUUAUAACUGCCCAUUAAUACAAGCUUUGAUGUAUGGUCAAAAAAUCCAGCUGUAAUGAGUUUCAUCAGACUGUAGCAACCUUUCCUCAGAAGGUCUUUAUUACUAUACCUUCAUAAUCUUCGGUCCCAAUGCUGUUUUAUAGCAUCAUUCUCAGUGAACUGCCUUAAAGAACAACACUCGGCAUCACUUAACAUAUUGCUUUCCACAAAAUUAAAAUACAAAGAUCCGUUCAUAGUUUCACAGAAGACAUUUUCGUACCUACAUUUCUUAUUAGAAAGAAGCCAGGAGUUUCCUCUUAGGAGUAUGCAGGCAACAAUUGUGUGAAACAAAGAUAAAGUGAUUCUUACGACACAACCCUCAAGACAGGAUACAAAAGGAUUUUGUAAAAGGACAAAGAACUUACUCUGUUGUUCCCCUUUGCAGGAUGCGGCAGGGAGGAAAGAGGAAAAAAGAAAUAUUAGAUACAUAUAUUUUACACACAUUCAGUCUAACUUGUUCGGUUCUGGAAGUAGCUCAAGCCAAAUGAACUGACUCAAAGUACAUUCACCGAACCCUUUAGUCAGACAGCUUCCAGAGGAGCACAGGACAUUCACGAAGGCUUUGAAAUGGUCAGCGAAGCUGUAAAUUCACACUGCUUUUCAAAAUUUCCUCCCUACACCAACUUUCAGAUUCCACUUUUGCUUCCUUCAGUGUAAAUUAGGAGCCGCUCCGGGGAAGUUGGUGGACACUAAAACAAGGGUGAGGGAAACGAGGCUCAAAAUGAUCUCGGGAUGGGCCCAAAGCCAGAGGGAUUUUCGUGCAUCAGUAAUACUGAGCUUCCAGUACGCAAAGCAACCACUAAAUAUGUCUGCUUACCCUUUCACGACAGCCACUCCCUGCAACAUGCCAAUGAAUGGAAAGUUUCACGAUCCAAUGCUUUUAAAAAGCAAAUGUUGUACGUUUAGAUUAGUAAUGAAAGUAAGGAGGAGAUGGCAUGAGGGGAGAGAGGAAAGGGAAUGGAUGGUGCCAGCCAGAAAGAACCCAACUAGGGGCCAAUGCGUUGGGCUUUAUAUCAGCAUUCCUGUAUGCGAACAGCAGAGCUGUUAAUGAAAGCACACAGCUUAACUUCAGAUUCCAGGCUGUGCACGCUGCUCUGGCAGUUACAGAAAGCAGGCCAGCCUCACCACUGCAGCACUCCAGGUUUACAGCACUAUUAAUCUAUUUUUCAUUUCUAAGCAGCAAUUUUUCUAUUUCUGGUGCCAAAGUCUUGGAUAUUCAAAGUUACCAGCUGCAACUUGUGCAUGGAAAAGAAUGAGAAGGUCAUCCUGUGAAGGGGUUGGGGUACCUCUUUGCAUUUUUAACUCCGGGACUGCGAAGCUGUGAGGAAGGACUGAAGCAAACACAACUUGCUGCCAUUUCCUAACAGCGUUUCUUGCGUGAAAAUGGGGUCUCUAAAUCGUUGAAGAAGAGUAAAAGAGUGGUGGGCAUCUGUAAAACUGUUUUAUGUUGCCAGGCAAAGGUGCAGAACUGAGGAGUGUGCAUAUGAUUUUAAUGAAAGUUCUGUCAAAGUUCCCAAUGUGCCCCGGGUGUUGAGGCUUUUGCUUUACAAAAUUCAGAACUUUAACAGCAGACUUUCCCUACACAUUUUAACCUACAGUUAUGCAGGAGGAAAAUACUUUGCAAGAAGAGAGUAGCAUGAAGGAUCCUUCCUGCACAGCUUGAUGAGCUAUGGGAUGAAUUUCAAACUGUAAGAUUUGGAAAAAUAAUAUUCACUCUUUUUGUGAUGUAAAGGUGAUUCCAGCCCAGACAACAAUGGAGUUGUUAGGACUGCCUCCUAACUUUGUCUUUUAAGGACAACUUUCAUCUUCUUUCUGAGAUUACUUCAACAGUCAAAUUAUAGAAAAAAAAAAAAAAGAGUUCUUUAGAAAACCUAUUUUGAAUAUAAAAAUGUUUUUAGGGAGACGGGGAAAACAAGGGGACAGAACAUAAGUUUGGAAAUCCAGCUAGUGUGCCCUUUCUAUCAAUAAAGCAUCAGAUAUAUGAAUAUGGCAAACAUGACAAAGAACACAAGAUUCAACUGGCUGGUUUGACACCAUAACCUGAGCAUAAAAUCAAAACAAUGCAGUAUUUUGAAAGUAGUAACUUAUUAGAUAACCUCUUGUAAUUAAUCCUUGUAAAAUGACUUCUGGUGGUCUUAGAUAAGAGCUAAUCUACAGGACAGGCACCCUACUGAAAAGUCAUUAAGAAUAUUUUAAAAAGACUGUCAGGCAUUUGGUAGGUCUCCUGCUGAAUUUGUGUCUGACCUGAUUAAAAAAACCCAAUACAGUUAUCAUAAUCACUGGUCAUUUCUACAAUAACUGGAGAAUCCCACAGUUUAAGUAUUCUGAUUUUGCUUUUGUUGGCAGCCUUGAUACUCAGUAUAUAAAGAGUACAGUGAGCAUUGCCAGUGUUCCUAAACAGCAGCAGGAAGAGAUGCGGAGAGGAUUAAAAUGGAAGAUGUAGAGGUAUCACAAAAAUAUGGAAGUAUGAGGAAGAUGAUGAAAAUGGAAGAUAUCAUAAGACCCUGGGCUCACGGGACCUGGCCUUGUCAUGGAACACAAGCAGGAAUAGGAACAAAUUCCGCUAAAAUCAAAGCAUCGUUUCUCAGAAUAGAUCCUCCACUGUAGGUAUCCAUCUGACAAAUUGCUGAAGAAAGAUUAGCCAUGGAAUAGAGAAACUUUAGUGAAUACUGAGAGAAUUUAGUGAAUACUGAAGGCUGAAAUACUGAAGAAUUUUUCAACUCAGACUACUCAAGCACAGAGCACAGAACAAAGCAAAAUAGAAGAAAACCCCAAUACUGAUUGAAUCCCAUAUGAGCUCUGGCACUUUUGAGUAAAAGUUAUGGUUACUGUAGGUUUGUCAUGGGUAAUAAAGGCCUUUUAAAAUUGAAACCUUAACUGUAAAAUGGAGUAGCCAUAAUCUGAAUGGUCUUUAAGCAGCCUCACUGCUCAUUACCAAGGUUUUGUUCGGAUGCUGCAGUCCAUAUUGCUACGGCCUCAGCUAUGCAGGCACUUGAGGGAGCUGGACUUCAGGAGCUGAGCCAAAUCCCUCAUCCCAGACUUACAUAAAUGAUGAAAACACAAAAUGACAAUGUCCAAAAAGUGUAAAAUGGUAGCUGGGCAUAUUCUAUUCCUUUUCCUAGCAUUUUCCUUUUUUUUUUUUUUUUUUUUUUUUUUUUUGGUCUUUUCUGUUUAAUUUAUUGGCUUUUUUUCUUGCUGUUUCCUGUUCAAUUUGCUUCACGUGAUUAGCACAGUAAAACUGUCUUUGGAAAGGUUUAGCAUGUGCUCCAUACCCAAAACCAUGCAAUGAUUCAGUAAAAUAAAUAUACAUGAUUGCCUGGAAUGCUUCUGUCAGUUCUGUAAUACAGAGCUUGCAGGAAUAAGAUUCUUUUCUUUAAAAGAUAUUCAUAGAAGCAAUGAAGCUCAGAAAACCUUACUUUGCUGAAUGUUUUUACUAAGCUGCUCCAAUGAAUAACAUUUUGGAGCUUUUUUUGUUUGUUUGUUUGUUUAAUUGAUGUUUGACACACUAAUUAACUAUGAAGUAUUUCAUUAUGAAUAUUAAACAAUUACCAUGGCAGAGGCCAAUGAAAAAGCUCCCAUUUCUUGAGAUAUCUGCAAACGCUGAGUUCUCCCAAAUGACACAAUUGUUUUUCUGACUCAAACAGAGCAGCUACUGAAAACUGGUGAGCUGUAUGACUUACUGAGGAUUUAUCAGGAUAGACACCGGCUCGUAGCAGAGAUGCCUUCCAGCUAUCCACCUCCUCUUGGGAGUCACAGGCUAGUUCAAGGAAACGGUAAUCCUUGUAAACAUUCCUAGAACAAAGAGCACCACACUGUAAAACCAGAAUCUUACUGCUUUGUAUCGUGCACACAGCAUUUUACAUAAAAAAUCCUUUGGGAUCAGAAAUAAUUUGGUAGUUGUUUUGGACAACGGCGUUUAUGAGACAGGUGCUUGUUUAAUAAUUACAUGGAGUACUUAAAAAUAUCUUACAACGUUACAACACAGCUCUGGAAAUAACAAUUAUCUGAAAGCACCGUGAAACUGCUCCAAAUCAAUUUUCCUGCUUUUCUUUUUUUUUUUUUUUUCCCAAAAUGGGGCACAAUUAGGAGAAGUAAAACUGUUGUGCUACAGAGGACAAACACGUAAGGCAUUCCAACAAAACUGCAUUCUGAAACUGAUGGCUGCGGUAACCAAUACAUAUCAGAAUAACUAAGGAUGCAACUUCUUGCCAUGUUAGGUCCUUCUGAUGGAUCCUUUUGACUUUCAGACACCGUCAGUAAAAUGGGAAAAAAAAACAGUGACAAUCAGAAUCUUUUAACAUCUGCCAUAGUUGUAAGAAAACCGAGAUGCAUUUAAAUAAUACCUACUGCAGGUAAUUAAUGUAACUAGAUAAGUACAAGCAUUAUGAACGGGGAAUCACAUAAUGGAAGAAAAGAGAAAGAAGGAAAAAUACAUAAUAUGUAGGAAGGUGGUACUUGCAAAUUCUCCAGUAAAUAGAACAUAUUUUCCCCUUACGGUUUAGCCAUUAGUUUCCGAAUUCAUAGUCUAUAUACAGACCAGGUUGCUAUAAAUUUGUCAGCCAACAGUCUUUUUAGGAAAGGCCACAAGCUUUGCUGACAAAGGUUAUGAAACCACAUUUUGCCAGAUCUUAAAAGCUGCACAGGAAUCGAUCUUCCAUUGCAACCAGACUGUUUUUUUUCCUUAGCAAGCUAUGGAGAGGAGGGAGCGAAGGGCAGCAAGGAGAGCUCAGAGACAUUAUUCAAGCUUCAAAGAGAGCAAUGACAAGGGGUUCUCAUAGCUCCAUUAUGCAGCUAACAACGUCAUUCCUGCCACAUAUUUUGAGGGAAAAAAGUGAACACCCUAUAGAACUUGGAGAUUAUUAUUACCAUCACUGCCUGUGCAGAUUUCUGUAGCAUUCAGGGGCUGGUGGGAUUUCACCUUCAUGCUGCUGGAAUACACCUGAAGAAGUACUGCUAACUCAGACCAGAGAAAGCCUCAGGCACCUCUCAGUGCCAGGCAGGGCAGCAUGCCUGCGUUUCCCUCCUAGCAGAACCAGACAGAGCACAAGGAGGCAGAGAGGCACUAACGUGGCACAUCCCACGGCUUAGGCACAGCCACUGGCAGAAUGAAUGAUUGAAAGCUCUAUGUAUAUCUUUUCUUCAUUAGAAAUUAGAAAUUAAAUCAUUUACUACUUUGGCUCCAAAUGCACUUAUUCUGCCUUAAUGCAAAGGAUGGCUUGAACAACCUCUUCAGAUGCUGUUACCUUGAAGCAAUGAUAAAACACUUGAAUUGAUCUGUGGAACUCAGAGUCAACAUUCACAGAAUAAAAGACUGAAUGAAAACAAACAAACAAAGAUCGAUAUGAGAUCACUAAAGAAAAAGUGCCUUAAUUUAUUGUUAGGAGCAACUUUUACUGAGAUAAGUUUUUUUGGCUGAGAUAAGUGAGCAGCUAUAACUCUGACGGAAAGGGAAGCUGAAAUGGCAGCAGGGCAGCCUCAGAAAAGAUGACUAAAAAUAACAAUAGAGCACAUAAAGACUGUAAAAUAUAGUGAUAGGGAAGUUCCAAAAAUACUUAUCUGCAAGAGCAAAACAACAUGACACCAGCUUGUGAAAACAUUUUUUCAGGAUUGUCAUGAUAUAUAUUAAACUUCUUGGCAUUUGGUGACUUGCUACAGCAAGCAUAGCUGUGUGAGAGGGAAUUUUAGCUGACCACUUUGAACAGAUGGGAGCUGGCAGUCCUGCACUCCUGUCAUCAUAUGCAGAGCCUUCCUAGGCUUAGUGGCACCUGAUGAGCAAGCUGCUGGAUGUCUCUGGCCCUCUGAGGCCUCUCACUGCAGUAUCUCAGCCCUCCAUGACCACUACAGAGGAACACAGGUUUCUGCUUCACAGGGUAAAUGAGGAGCUAAAGGGCACACAAAGCUCGCCUUAGCACAGGUAAAAGGACACGUGUCUCCCAGAACAGCCUCCUUGUCAUUGGACUUCUUUGUCUUUCUUUCUUCUAGGAAAGGCUGACAGGCACAGGAGCACUUCAAAGGAAAAAAAUAAAAUAAAAAGCCAAAGCAACUCCUGAAGAGAGUUUGUCCUUUUACUAGCAGAAUCUUACCAAAAAAACCCCAUACCAUUAACAUGUUUUACUCAUUAGGAAUCCACUGGCAUCUCAUGGAAAGCUGUAAAAACAUUCUUGAAAACAAUUCAAAUUUUCUGUUUUGUUCUCUCUUCCACUUUUAAAAGUUGCUGAAGAUAAUGGCACAGAAACAGUUACUACUCAAUCCUUACCUACUUAUUCCAUAUGGAAUACAAUGAGAUCAUGCUCUCAUUGUCAUCUCCAUAGCAGCUAAAUACUUUAAAGAGUGAUAUAAUACAGGAUCCCAAGAAGCAAAAAUGAGCUCUCAAAAAGACAAGUCUUGUUGAUAUUCAGGCAACUUUAAGGGACCGUAGAAACAAACAGAUGCAAUACAAUAAAUGGAAAUAUGCCUAGCAGUAAAAUUUGCAUGCCACAUUUCCCUUGGAUAUUUAACCUUUGUUAAGUUUGAGCACGCAAACAAGGGAGCUGUGUGCAAAGCUACAUGCAUGUACCACAUCUAACUACAGUGCUUCCUUCUGCAGAGUUCAUAACUAAAUAUCCUGUGUAGCACUUGAAAAUAGAUCCCAAGAGGGAAAAAUAUAAAAGAUUACAAUUUAUUAUCUGCAGGUUUUGUCACACUCUAAAUACAUAUACCUCAAGACAUGCAUUCCAGAAAAAUCAAAGCAGAACUGCUCAUGGUGAUGAGCAGCCAAUUGGACUAAAGGUGCCCAUACCAAACGCAGUGCUCCAAGUAAGGCUGCAUGGCGGCCUUAACCCCUUCAACCCCUCCCACCACAGAAGAGUCCUAGCAAGAAAAUGCAGCAGUGGAUUAAGGGAUUUGAAAGCAUUCAAUAGAAAACGGAGUAGUGGCUGUAAGACUGAAAAGUGAGCCCAGUUGUGAGUUACUGAGAUUCCUGUCCCACCAGUCCCAGCCUUGGCUUGUCAGCACUGCACAGGGAGGGUUCCAUUGUCUAUGCAGCAGCAGAGCUAGAGAACCAGGCCCAACAGUGAAAUAAUGGAGGACUGAAAAUCACAGAGAACUUUCUGGAUACUUGCUGUAGUGGAGGCAACACCAACAGAGUUCCCUCCACAGCAGCUGUAUGCUGAGACUGCUUGCUAUCCCACCAAGUGAUGCAUCUCAAGAUAUAUAGCAGUUCUUGCAACUCCUUAACACCAAGAUAAGGUUAAAUAUUUAUCUCCAACAAGCUUGGAAAGAUGUUAAAGGUAACCAGUCUACAUACGUUGCAAAUCCUGUUGAUAUGCGUGCAUAUAAAUAAAUGCAUAUCCACACAUUAACUGUAUGCACAGACAGCUUUCAGACUGAGCUGGAUCUGGAACAUUUCAGUAGACAAAGCUGUACUGUAUGUGCAGGUGUUGGGGUUUUUUCCUUUUUUCUUUUUGCUUUUUUUGAGACAGAAAGAGAGAGAGAAAAUACAAACCAAGAUUAAAUGCAAAAGCAUUUAUUCUUUCCCCUAAGCUUCCCUGUAUAUUUAUAGGAGACAGAAUAGGAAUUAGAGAACAUUACUGAAAUGUUCGGAUUGUGCCUAUAGGACAAUUCAUCUCUAAUCCUGCAAAGAACACAAAGCACACAGAACUUAAACAGUGACACUGAAGCAAGUGGAACUAUGCGUAGACUGACAGAUAAAGGACUGUCUUCCUUUACAGGGCUUUCAAACACCUGAGAUGACGGUGUUGGUGAACUCCUCAUCUUUGUAGGAGGAUGCAAGCAGACUUCAAAAUGAACACAAAAUCUGGAACCAAAUGCAAAUUGGACCAAUUUUAUUGCAAAAUAAAUGCAAAAGAAUGAAUCCUGAGGUAUCUUUGGUUGAAAAUGAGCUUCACAUUUAGUGACUUAAAACAAGGAGAAAAUAACAGAAUCCAGAUACACCAAACACACAAGCACAACAAAGAUAACCUUAAAUAAAACUCCACAGAUAUCCUCUGCUUAUUCAACCUGCAGCUCCACUGGGUAUACUCUGCUUCUUU